GCCGUAGCUCAGCGCGUAGGGCGCCUGCCUGGCAAGCAGAAAGGGGGUCCCGGGUUCGAUCCCCAGGGGGGGCA